ensembl:lncRNA
GCGUGUGGCUGCCAUCACUGUGAAGGCGUGUGGCUGCCAUCACUGUGAAGGCGUGUGGCUGCCAUCACUGUGAAGGCGUGUGGCUGCGAUCCCUGUGAAGGCGUGUGGCUGCCGUCACUGUGAAGGCGUGUGGCUGUGAUCCCUGUGAAGGCGUGUGGCUGCGGUCACUGUGAAGGCGUGUGGCUGUGAUCCCUGUGAAGGCGUGUGGCUGCGAUCACCGUGAAGGCGUGUGGCUGUGAUCCCUGUGAAGGCGUGUGGCUGCGGACACUGUGAAGGCGUGUGGCUGUGGUCACUGUGAAGGCGUGUGGCUGCGGACACUGUGAAGGCAUGUGUGCUUGGGGUCCCGGGGAGCCGGUGUGAAUGGCCAAGAGGCCCAGUUCUGGCCCUGCACUCAGGUCGUGCCACGCUUGCCUCAGAGGUCUCCGCACGAGCAGCGGCCAGUCCUCCCGUGGUGGGUGCACACAUUCUGCUCCCCACACUCCCGGCACCCCUACCAGGCUGGCUCAUCAGCCACAUGUUGCCCUGAACAGAUUCCCCUGGGACUCUUGGGGUGGCAGUGGGGAGAGCCUCACUGCUUUGUCCAGGGAAGGAUAAUACCUCCUGGCCUUUAUGACCUAGUCCUGAGUUUCUGUGGCUUUUCCCUUAGUGAAGAGCAAGUAGACUACUCAUUAGGUCUGCAGCGGUUACCUCUCUUCUUUCUGCUUCACAGCUACAUUAAACAUGUUACACGCAAGGAUAUAUGAGACAUUACGCUAAACACCAUAUGCGUGAUAUAGCAGGGAGCCUUACUAAGAAAAAGACGUAUCUGUUAGCCUGCCCACUCCCUAUGGUCACUCCAGAGAAAAUGAUUCAAUGUUGUUUCUGAAAGCUGAGCUUCUUAAAGCCACCAGAAGCCCUCAGACAAUAAAGAGAUGCUGUGCUGUGUUUAAUUGUACAAACUGAAGCUCAGUGGCUCGUGACAGGGACAGCGUGAGUGAGUUUAGGGAGAGGACAGUGGGCACAGCCAGACCCAGCGAGGCGGGGAUCUAUUGAGGAUGCAGCUGAGGGCAGGGUGGCACAGCACAUGUUUCUGCUGGUCCUCAUGACCUUGGCACCUCCCUUCAGGAUGCCCAGCUCUGUGUGGGCCAGACCAUUGUCUCAUGGGAGAGUCUGGUUGCUGGUGUGCCGAGCUGUUCCAUCUGGUCGGGACGGGCUCGGGGGAGAGCUUCCUGCCCCGGUCCUGCAACAGCCUGAGCACCAGAGCCGGCAGCAAGUAGCACCUGCACGAGGGUGAUCACCUGGUCAAGAACCUGCUUCUGCUGGUCCAUCUAAGCUUGAAAUUCGGCUCUGCAAUUGGAGGUUAGGGCCUCUACUCACACACAUGCACACAUAUCAGUACAUGCAUACACACACACACGCAUGCUCAGCACUCUUUUUGCUCCCAGCUCUGAAGCAGCAGCAGUUGGGUGUUUGUGGUCUUUUGUGUCCUUUUGUCCAUAAUUUGCCUCAACUGUGUGCGCACAUACUUAUUUUAGUCACUUAAAGUGUGGCCCCCAAAACAGCGUCAGUGGCUUAUUUGAGAAUUCUUAGACUCCAUCCAAGACUCCUCUAAAAGAUAAAGUCUAAUGAAGUCUGUCUCCUCUUUUUGUGGUUAUAUGAGAAAACACCCUUGUACCUGUAAGAUACACGACAUAUUUAAAUAUUAAAGGGUGAAGUCUGAAAAUGUUGCAAAC